GAGAGACAGCGCGAACCGACAGUCGGUCCCACGCCGCCAGGCCCCGUGGUUAUUCCCGCAGGCACACGCUCCCGGCUAUCCGCCUGACGCGUACACUCCUCUAACGUCCGAUUUUGAACACGUGUCAAUCAUCCAACGGUGAAUAGGAGUGGCGCUCCAAUCUUAUAAACUGGCGGAGCGCGCCAUCGGCCUUGACCUUCUCUGCGUCGGGCCAACGUAGUUGUACUCUGUUGCAAGUGGAAGUAGAAAACCUAACCAUAAAGGAUAAGAGAGAGGUGAAGUUGGGUGAGAUGUCGGCAGAGACGGCAAAGAGCUCAACGGAGUCAGAUGUAUCUGGCCUUGAUUAUGAGGAAACUGAACUGAAGCUUGGCCUUCCGGGGAGCUCCCGUAUCGCCGGAUCGGAGCUGGAGAGGAAGCGCGGGUUCUCUGAGACUGUCGAUCUGAAGCUUGGUGGCUCUGGAGGAUGCAAUCUUGACUAUUUGACCGCAGAGUCAUCCGACACACGUUCUUCCGGGGCCGGCAAGCUGCCGGCUAACAAGGCGCAGGUCGUUGGGUGGCCGCCAGUGAGGUCGUUCCGAAAGAACGCGCUGAAGAGUUGCACGUAUGUGAAGGUAGCUGUGGAUGGAGCGCCAUACCUUCGGAAGGUGGACAUAGAGAUGUACGGAGGGUAUCAGCAGCUGCUGAAUGCGCUCAAAGAGAUGUUCUCCUGUUUUACUAUUCGUAACUCGCCAAACAACAACGAGAGGAGGCUGGUUGAUCCGCUCAACGGAACAGAGUAUGUGCCGACAUACGAGGAUAAGGAUGGUGACUGGAUGCUUGUUGGUGAUGUUCCAUGGAAGUAAAAUGUUUGUUGCCUCCUGCAAACGUCUACGCUUGAUGAAAAGCUCAGAAGCUGUCAAUUUAGCUCCAAGGGCACCUCAGAUUGACUAGAGCUAAAUGUGAAAAAAAGGAUAAUGCCGCAGCACCAUCACUGAUUCACUGGUUAUCAUGUACAGGGAUUGUUUCUAGUCUUCUUUGGCCUUUUUAAGUAUUUACCGUUGUUUUUGAGUUUCUGGAAGUAGAGAAAAUAAUGAAUAUUUCUGUUGUACUACUUGUUAGUUAUUGGUUUUGACUUGUUUAAGCUUGAAAGAUACAAGUAUAAUAUACGGUUUACAGUUUGUCUUGUGGGGUCAAUAAGGUCGGAACUCCUUAUUUGUGAUUUCCCAUUUAUAUGGUUUUGACUUGGAGGCUUA